rnacentral:lncRNA from 1 species
CUUAUAAAGACUUUAAAACUGCUUAUGAAUACUUUAAAACAGAAAUUAAUAAACAAGGACCACAGCCCACCUCUGGGGUGUUGGGAGGAUCACCUGAUGGACAAAUCACCGUACAGGACAUGCACUCAGCUGCUGAGGUGGAGUAUUCUCUUAAACUUUCCUCAUAUUACUCCAGGUCUUCUGCUGAGCUUGCACAACACUUACACAAUGAACUACAGAGAACCUUUGGUAAAAAACUGCAGGAACUCAGCGUGAAACCAAACUCCGUCAUGGUGAAAGAUGGAAAAUUCCACUGUCAGCUUGUAAACAACAAGAAUCCUCAGGAAACUACAGACUGGGAAGUUAAAGUACCAGCAGAAAGCCAACAUCCAAUGGAAAAAAUCUGGAAUAAAAUGGAAAAGGUCUCUGAACCGCUGCCCACUCACGAGACGUCUGGGCAUUUAGAGAGAGCAGGAAUGGCUGUAGGGACGGUAGGGCUCAUGCUGGGAGCAAAGGCUGCUGUCCAGGCCUUUGAAGAAGGAGACAUUAAACAUGGAAUUGUAAACACUCUACAAACUGUACAUGGAGUGACGGGAAUGAGUCUGGCUGCUGUCGGAAGAAGGGUCUCUGUUGCUGCUGAAGGAAAGGUAAUCAAAGCUGUAUCAACAGUUUUUAAAAAACCUGUAACUAAGUGGGCCCUUCAAGUCAUGCCAUUUAUAGGAAUUGGAUUUGGUGUUUAUAACAUUUACGAGGACAUCCAAAGAUGGGAUACACUGGGAUAUAUUGAUGCGGGCAUGGACACUUUAAUUCUUGAAAUAGACAUUGUAGAACUUGAACAACCUGAAUUAUCACCUGUUAUAAUGCCAAUUAGCCUUGCAAUUAAUACAAUAAGAAUGCUAUUUGAUAAUAUAUACCUUGGCAUACAGGAGGAGUUAAACAAGCUUCCACCAAAUGCUGUAAUUCUUGACAAGAUAGGAGCAGUUAUCAGGGGCUUUUUAAAAGGCACUGAACAUUUCAUUUUUGAUGUAGCAAGUUUUUUUUACACCAUUCCUUAUCGUGAGAUUGAACGUGGUUGCACAUAUGUAGAACAAAUUUCUGACUAUCGUAAAUAUUACUCCUAUAGGGAAGUGCAGAGCGGGAGAAAAGCUAUUGAUUUCACAGGUGGAGAAAGCUCCUGGAAUGGAGGGGGCAUCUGCUUCAGUCUGUCCGAGCAAGGACCGUCAGAAAUGUGCAUGGAAUCUUUUGUGUCUGAUGAUGAAAGCUUAGGGAAAAGGUGUUGGCCUGUUGACACAGAUCAAACUGAUGACAUAGUUUUGGGAACUGGAGAAUCACACGAGUUACAGUACAGCCAAAUUCAAAGAAAAGUGCUUCUGUUUAUACCAGCUGGAUCAAUUACUGUGGUUUCUGGUUAUCAGAAUUUGUCCUACUCCAGAUAUGGAAAAUACAGUGGGAACAGCAGGCUAAAUAACUUUUUUGCUGUUCAGAAGAACGAAGACAGUCAUUUGAUGGAGAUCAUGUUGAGCUAUUAUUAUGUGCUUAAUGGAAAUGCAGGAGAUGACACUUUCUACUUAGGACCUCAGAAGAGUCAUGUAAAGGGUCAGGGUGGAAGAGACACGUACAUCAUUCCUAAAGAUGGAGGCAUUACUGACAUUGAUAAUUACGACCCACUUAAAACCACAGAUUUACUCAUCCUAGGUGUCAACUAUGAUCAAAUAUCAGUGUCUAAAUCUGAAGAUGAUGUUACUUUAAUGUAUUUAGGUAAUCAUUCUGUGAGAAUCAUAAAGUGGUUCGUUGGAGAGGAAUAUCGUCAUAUAAACAUGAUGUCAGAAGACGGGAUAAUGUUUGAUAUUUCUACAAAUAUGUUGUUCCCAGUGAAGCUCACGGCCCGAGCAGUCAACCUGAUGUCUAAAUCUCAAGNNNNNNNNNNNNN